rnacentral:Y_RNA from 1 species
GGCUGGUCUGAAGGUAGUGAGUUAUCUCGAUUGUUCACAGUCAGUUACAGAUUGAACUCUUUGUUCUACUCUUUUCCUCCCUUCUCACUACUGGACUUAACAAGUCUUUU